rnacentral:rRNA from 1 species
UACCAGCUCUUCGAGUGGUGUGGAUGUUUAUUAGGCCUAAAGCAUCCGUAGCUGGCUGGGCAAGUCCCCUGUUAAAUCCACCGAUUUAUCGUUGGAGUGCGGGGGAUACUGUUCGGCUAGGGGACGGGAGAGGCAGACGGUAUUUUCGGGGUAGGGGUGAAAUCCUAUAAUCCCGAGAAGACCACCAGUGGCGAAGGCUGUCUGCUAGAACGCGCCCGACGGUGAGGGAUGAAAGCUGGGGGAGCGAACCGGAUUAGAUACCCGGGUAGUCCCAGCUGUAUACGAUGCAGGCUAGGUGCUUGGACGGCCACGUGCCGUUCUAGUGCCGCAGGGGAGCCGUUAAGCCUGCCGCCUGGGGAGUACGGCCGCAAGGCUGAAACUUAAAGGAAUUGGCGGGGAGCACCACAAGGGGUGAAGCUUGCGGUUU